rnacentral:tRNA from 1 species
GGGGGCCCAAGGAAGGCAACGGGUUUUGGUCCCGUUACUUGGGGGUUUGAAUCCUUCCGUCCCAGA